GCCGCUCCCCCCGCCCGCUGCGCGCCCGCGCCGCCGCCCGCCCGCCCGGGCCGGAGCGGGGCCGGCAGCGAGCGGUCCUGCUCAUGGCUGUCCUCGCUCCCGGAAGGUUCCAGAGUAGAUGGAGUAUGAAGUAUUUGCAAUUUUGACCCAAACUUUGUAUCCUUAGAGCCCUGUGUCAGUUCAGUAACAUGGAAGUAGUACCUGAGGCUCAGUAACAAAGGCACUGGAAGAUUUACUCCAGCAAACCACAGGGUCAGCAAGGGACCUCAGAGAUUGGAGAAUCCAAACAAGUGGGGGAGCUGGAGUUUGGUGCUUACCUGCCAGAAGAUCAUUUACCUUCUCAUUGUCUCAGCUGCCACAUCUAGAGAACUGCAGAUCAAAGGAUUAUUUAAAAAUUAUAGUCAUUCCUUUAAAAUAUAAAUCUUUAUUUCAAAAUACAAGUAUGGAUUGUUGCAAGGGGGAAAAAAAAAAUCACAACUGCAAGUUUUUGGUUUGUGAAAAUUCUUUCAGGCCCAAAUCAGAAAAUACAUUACUUUGUGAAACUGGGAAUAAAAUAAAAUUAUUAAACUUUUCAAAAAUUUA